UCAGGAAGGAAUGCACAAAAACAAGCACAAACACGCGAAGAUGAGCCUUUUGCGUCGCUUUUUCGGAACAAGCACAAGAGGAAGGAAAUAAGAGAGCAGAACAUAGCAAAAAAUGGAUGACUCGAUUGGGCUCGACGAAGCAAAUUCUGUUUUCGAGGAAAAAAAGAGAUGGUAACGGAGUAAGAACGAUGGC
ensembl:lincRNA linc-44 ncRNA